CGCGUAGGCGGCUUGGUCAGUCGGAUGUGAAAGCCCCGGGCUUAACCUGGGAAUUGCAUUCGAUACUGCCAGACUAGAGUGUAGUAGAGGGAAGUGGAAUUCCGGGUGUAGCGGUGAAAUGCGUAGAUAUCCGGAGGAACAUCAGUGGCGAAGGCGACUUCCUGGACUAACACUGACGCUGAGGUGCGAAAGCGUGGGGAGCAAACA
rnacentral:rRNA from 1 species